UAGAGCUUUCAAACAUGUCUUGAUGAACUAA
rnacentral:piRNA from 1 species